rnacentral:rRNA from 1 species
CGGGCGGCUGCAGUGGGGAAUAUUGCACAAUGGGCGAAAGCCUGAUGCAGCAACGCCGCGUGAAGGAAGAAGGGUUUCGGCUUGUAAACUUCUAUCAACAGGGACGAAAAAAAUGACGGUACCUGAAUAAGAAGCCCCGGCUAACUACGUGCCAGCAGCCGCGGUAAUACGUAGGGGGCAAGCGUUAUCCGGAAUUACUGGGUGUAAAGGGAGAGUAGGCGGCAUGAUAAGUUAGAUGUGAAAGCCUUGGGCUUAACCCGAGGAUUGCAUUUAAAACUAUCAAGCUAGAGUACAGGAGAGGUAAGUGGAAUUCCUAGUGUAGCGGUGAAAUGCGUAGAUAUUAGGAAGAACACCAGUGGCGAAGGCGACUUACUGGACUGAAACUGACGCUGAGGCUCGAAAGCGUGGGGAGCGAACAGGAUUAGAUACCCGUGUAGUC